GGCUGGUGGAUGCUGUUUCGUCGCGUGUCCAAGAUGCCAUGAAAUUUAACAGAUCGGGCAGUGACACGCGGUGAUGAGGCGGCUAGUGGUAGAGGACAAACAAUAGUUCAACCGUCACAUUCAGUUAACGAUACUGACAUACGAAAAUGAUGGAAUUCGUCAUCCUAAUGCAGCACGCAGGUUCUUAUUUUUUUUUUUAAGACACGGGCUUAUUCAGGUUAGAGGUGCAAGUGACUGAUGCAUGGCCAAAAAUAAAAAAAAUACUGUCUAAAAAUCGCCU
rnacentral:lncRNA from 1 species